CGAGGCCGGACGGCUCCUCUCAGCUAUUCAUAGUCUCCAGAGACCAGCCCCUGCUCCCCCCCGCCCCAGGCAGGGUGGGCAGGAGCCAGGGCUGGCCCCGGGCAGCGCCCAGGGGAGCAAGGGCAGGCAGGACCCGGCUCCCCAUCCCAUCUGCCCUCCCAUGCACAUGCAGACACACCCAGGCAGAGGCUGCCGGAGGCACUUGUGCUAAAACCUUGGCCAGAGUUGGCUUGAGCAGCAAACCUGGCCGUGGCAUGAGCGAGCUCCUGGCUGGAGGCGGGAGGGGAGACGCUGCGCGCGGCGUGGGACAGCCCAGGACCCGCGCGACAAGGCUGGAGCGGGAACACCCAGAAAGCCUUUGCCCAGGUCCCCCAUCAGAGAUGAAUGAAGGGAGGUGGUCGUGAGACUGCAGGGAACGUCCACGCGUGGGCUAGAAACUGGCUCCAGGAUAGAAAGCGAAGAGGAAGC